UUAACUCAAAUUUGUAUGGAGUUGGAACGUUUGCUACGUUUGUCGCUAGGGGCGCUCUUCCAACUUUAUACAAAUUUCAGUUA
rfam:Bombyx mori DNA, contig: Bm_scaf7_contig6531, strain: p50T/Dazao, build 2, whole genome shotgun sequence.